UACGUAGGGUGCAAGCGUCAAUCGGAAUUACUGGGCGUAAAGCGUGCGCAGGCGGUGAUGUAAGACAGUUGUGAAAUCCCCGGGCUCAACCUGGGAACUGCAUCUGUGACUGCAUCGCUGGAGUGCGGCAGAGGGGGAUGGAAUUCCGCGUGUAGCAGUGAAAUGCGUAGAUAUGCGGAGGAACACCGAUGGCGAAGGCAAUCCCCUGGGCCUGCACUGACGCUCAUGCACGAAAGCGUGGGGAGCAAACAGG
rnacentral:rRNA from 1 species